rnacentral:misc_RNA from 1 species
GAUGAAGAACGCAGCGAAAUGCGAUAAGUAAUGUGAAUUGCAGAAUUCAGUGAAUCAUCGAGUCUUUGAACGCACAUUGCGCCCCCUGGUAUUCCGGGGCGCAUGCCUGUCCGAGCGUCAUUGCUGCCCUCAAGCACGGCUUGUGUGUUGGGCCCCGCCCCCCGGCUCCCGGGGGGCGGGCCCGAAAGGCAGCGGCGGCACCGCGUCCGGUCCUCGAGCGUAUGGGGCUUCGUCACCCGCUCCGUAGGCCCGGCCGGCGCCCGCCGGCGACCCCCCUCAAUCUUUUUUCAGGUUGACCUCGGAUCAGGUAGGGAUACCCGCUGAACUUAAGCAUAUCAAUAAGCGGAGGA